CCAAAAUACCCAAUGAUUUCUGCAACUACAACCGUAUUAAAAUUAUUAAGGACCCACAGCUUUAACCCAAAUUUUCCUCUGUUUUUGCAGCUUAUGAUUUUUCUGAAUUUGAUCAAAAAAAUUCUCUUUGUUUACCCGAACGGGGACCCUUUUCCUCAGCCUUUCCAGGUAACUUUGUUGAGAAUGGAAAAACACAGCCAUGAAUGAACGGAAAACCCUUCACUACUUACCUCCUUUCAAUUUCACACAAAAAUCAAUUUCAAUUGAUCUCGAUCUGUUUCAGAAUCAUGCAUUUAGAUCAAAUGGAUCUAGCUUCAGCAAAAUGUGUAAUCAACAGCAUUUCUCGAUUCAUUCAUCUAGUUUCUUGCCAAACAGUGAAGCCUGCCCCUCUUCAGAAGAACUGUACUAAUAUGGUUUCCGUUUUGAGGUGUUUGAAACCGGUGCUCGACGAUGUUUUCGAUUACAAAAUCCCUUUGGAUGAAAAUCUGUAUAGAGAAUGUGAAGAGUUGGACCGGCAGGUUAACCAAGCUCGGGAGUUUAUUGAAAAUUGGAGCCCGAAGACAAGCAGGGUCCAUAAUGUUCUUCAAAGUGGAGAACUGUUGAUAAUGCUACAAGACACUUCACUUAGGAUUUGUCACAUAAUUGAUAGAUUCCAUAAGUUAACUUCAUCUACCUCAGUUUUGAAUAAUCUUCAGCACCAUAUGCAGGAACUUAAGUGUCUUAAGAAGGAAUCAACAUCGGUCUAUAUUGAAGAAGUGUUGAGAAAUCAAAAGAAUAAUACUAAGCCUAGCUAUGAAUGUCAAAGGAAAAUUAUAGAGUUACUUAACUUGAUGUCAAACCAGGAGCUACUGAAAGAAAGUAUUGCUGUGGAAAAGGAAAGGUUGAAUGCGGAAGUUAACAAAACAAAAGGGGAGUUGGAUGAAAUUAACCAAAUUGCGAAUCUUGUUUGCAGUUUACGUGAUUAUGCAAUGAAAACGAAAUGCCCUGAAGUCAAAAGUGAUGUGUCAGUCCCGUCAUACUUCCGAUGCCCUUUAUCGCUUGAACUCAUGUUGGAUCCGGUUAUUGUUGCUUCAGGUCAAACAUACCAGAGACAGUCCAUCCAAACCUGGCUUGAUAGCGGGCUGAAUGUUUGUCCCAAGACUCAUCAGAGACUUAACCAUGCAAUUCUAAUUCCCAAUUAUACGGUUAAAGCUAUGAUAGCAAGUUGGUGUGAAGAAAAUAAUGUCGAACUUCCCCAUAACUCAAAGCAGAGUAAUUCUACCCAAAGUUCACCCCCCACGGAUUAUUUAUUGCAUCAAGAUUUAAAUCGUGCCUGUAGUUUCGGGUCUUCGCAUAGUAGCAAUUUCAAUUCUAAAUCAUCUCUUCAAACUGGAAAUGCAUUUGAACAGCCAAAGGGUGAUGACUCCUCCAGAUUAAGCGGUGAAGGUGAGACCGAAAUGUUUGAGCGACAAUCUCAUGCUCCUUCGUGUAGUCAUAGCAGAAGUGAGUCAUUUUCAAGUUCUAUUUCUAGUACUGAUUAUGUACCGUCUGUUUCAAAAAAGGUGGUCGAGAUAUCAAAUAAGCAUCCAAAUGUGAUGUUAUCUGGAGAAAUUAAUAAUAAUGUGUAUCCUGCUUCUCCUGCAAACGAAAAAGUUGCGAAUUUUCCAACAGUAUCACAAGAGCAAUUUCAAAGCCCUGGAUCAAAAAAAGCAACAACGCCUGGGAUAUCAAAUAAACAUCAAAAUGUGCAGGAGAAGCAUCAAAAUGUUCCAACGGUGUCAGGGAUACCAAAUAAGCAUCACAAUGUGCUGUUGUCCGGAGAGAUUAAUCAUAAUGUUCCUGCUUCUCCUGCAUAUAAAGAAUUUGGGAAUUUUCCAACGGUAUCACAGGAGCAAUUUCAAAGCCCUGUAUCAAAAAAUGCAAAGACGCCGGGGAUAUCCGAUAAACAUCAAAAUGUGCAGGAGAAGCAUCAAAAUGUUCCAGGGGUGUCAGGGAUGUCAAAUAAGCAACAAAAUGUGCAGGAGAAGCAGGAAAAUGUGCAGAAGCAUCAAAAUGUUCCAACAGUGUCAGGGAUAUCAAAUAUGCAUCAAAAUGUGCAGGAGAAGCAUCAAAAUAUUUCAACGGUGUCAGGGAUAUCAAAUAAACAUCAAAAUAUGCAGGAGAAGCUUGAAAAUGUUCCAAGAAUGUCAGGGAUAUCAAAUAAGCAUCAAAAUGUGCAGGAGAAGCAGGAAAAUGUGCAGGAGAAGCAGGAAAAUGUUCCAACGGUGUCAGGGAUGUCAAAUAAGCAUCAAAAUAUGCUUUUGUCUGGAGAAAUUAAUAAUAAUGUGUUUCUUGCUUCUCACGCAAAUAAAGAAGUUGAGAAUUUUCCAACAGUAUCACGAGAGCAAUUUCAAAGCCCUGGAUCAGAAAAUGCAGCGAUACCAGGGGUAUCAAAUAAACAUCAAAAUAUGCUGGAGAAGCAUCAAAAUGUUCCAACGGUGUCAGGGAUAUCAAAUAAGCAACAAAAUGUGCAGGAGAAGCAUCAAAACGUUCCAACGGUGUCAGGGAUAUCAAAUAAGCAUCAAAAUGUGCAGGAGAAACAUCAAAAUGUUCCAACGGUCUCGGGGAUAUCAAAUAAGCAUCAAAAUGUGCUUCUGUCUGGUGAUAUUAAUAAUAAUGUGUUUCCUGCUUCUCCUGAAUAUAAAGAAUUUGGGAAUUUUCCAACGGCAUCGCGAGAGCAGUUUCAAAGCCCUGGAUCAAAAUAUCGAACGACAGAGAAUGAAAAUAAGUACAAUAACAAUAAUGAUUUUGUUUUUACUAGCCAUUCAAGUUCAGAAGAUGAUGCCCGUCCUGUUUCCACCUCAGAAUCUGAUAAAUUGACCACCGCACAUGUCGGUCAGUUGAUUGAAUAUCUACAAAGUCAAUCAAAAGAAACACAAGCUUCCGCCGCCGAAGAAUUGCGGCUUCUUACAAAGCAUAAUAUGGAAAACCGUAUCAUUGUUGGGAAAUGUGGUGCCAUUAUGCAUUUACUUCCACUGCUAUAUUCAGACAUGAAGAUAAUACAAGAGCAUGCUGUGACAGCUAUAUUGAAUUUGUCGAUAAAUGAAGACAACAAGACCUUGAUUAUGGAAGCAGGAGCCAUAGAACCACUUAUCCAUGUUUUGAAGAAUGGAAAUAAUGGUGCCAAGGAAAACUCGGCUGCAACUCUAUUCAGUCUCUCAGUACCAGAAAACAGUAAGAUGAAGAUUGGUCGCUCCGGUGCGGUUAAAGCUUUGGUGGAGCUUCUAGCUUCUGGAACUCUUAGGGGGAAGAAAGAUGCUGCAACUGCUUUAUUUAACCUGUCAAUAUUUCACGAGAAUAAAGCUCGGAUAGUUCAAGCUGGAGCUGUGAAGUUUCUAGUUAAGCUAUUGGACCCAGCUGAUGGAAUGGUUGACAAGGCUGUUGCUCUUUUGGCAAACUUAUCGACAAUCCCAGAGGGUCGAAUAGAAAUUGUACGCGAAAGGGCAAUCCCCUUACUGGUUGAACUUGUGGAAUCGGGUUCUCAUAGAGGAAAGGAAAAUGCUGCAUCGAUUGUCUUGCAACUAAGCCUUCAUAGCCCUAAGUUUUGUACUUUCAUUCUUCAAGAAGGAGCUGUACCUCCCAUAGUUGCAUUGUCCCAGUUUGGCACACCAAGAGCAAAGGAAAAGGCACAACAACUUCUCAGUCAUUUUCGUAGUCAGCGUGAAGCAGCUAACGGUAGGGGAAAAUCAUGAAGAUAAAGAAGUUCGACUAUUUUGUUGUACUGUACUUUCUCUUUCAGUUAUUGAGAUCUACAGGUAGAAGUGUACUUCAACGGAGCUGCACCUCAUGUAGAGUUCUGGCUUUCGGAUGACACCACAUCUCUCACCGCCUUGACAUUCAAGUUGAAUGAAUUGUUGCUUGACACCGAUAAUAGAAAGUUGAGAAAGAUCGAGUUUCAUGAAUAUUAGGUUGACACUUAUGGAAGGGUGAAAUAUAACCUUAUUGAGUUGAAGACCGAUGAAGAUUUGACAGUUAUGUGGAGAUCAUUUCGCUGUAGACUAACUGAGGGGCCGAUCGAGUUAGAUGGAAAGAUUUCGAGAUCUGUCGACGACAUGAUUAAGAUGCUGAAACGUCCAAAAUCAUCUGACAGUGUCUAGGUUUUCAUUGGUUUUCAUGUUUCCUUAUUGUUUAUUUAUGUUAAUUGUAAUGUCUUAAAUUAGGUUCAUCUUUGAAAUAUGUAAUCGACAAAAUAUUAUAUAAUAAAAGGUACAAUGCUAAGUA